rnacentral:rRNA from 1 species
UACGGGGGGGGCAGCAGUGUUCGGUGAAUCACUGGGCGUAAAGGGAGUCUAGGCGGUUUGGUAAGUGGGAUGUGAAAUGCCCCCGGCUCACCCGGGGACCGGCAUCCCAAACUGCUGAGCUUGAGUACAGGAGAGGGUGGGGGGAAUUCCAGGUGUAGCGGUGAAAAUGCGUAGAUAUCUGGAGGAACACCGGUGGCGAAGGCGCCCACCUGGCCUGCUACUGACGCUGAAGCUCGAAAGCUAGGGGA